GUAAGGGGUCAAAGGUAGCUUUUUAAAAAUAAGAAUAUUGAAGGAGACGGUUUCAGCUGUCUCAGGCUUUAAUGUGCGUGCACAAGCUUUACCUGGCCUUUUAAAUAUAAAUUUCCUCGGGCCUAUGUUCUCAUUCGUACUCAUGUCUGGCCCUGCCUCAGUCUGAGAAGAACUAACCAGGAGGAUUGGAUUGGGUCUCUCCUAGUUUAUGUACAUGGGGGCAGGAAAUGCUUUGAGUGAAGGGCUGACAGAAGGAAGAAGCAUUCCAUGUAAGUAAGAUGUCAUAUUUAAAAUGAAGCAGACCAACCCACCCUACACAAACCAUAUUCGCAUUUGUGUAAUGGCAGCCCCAUGAAAAUUUCAUUUUGGAAACCUGAAUUAUAUGGGUCACGGUCAAUUCAGCAAUGCCACCUGUGUGUCACCAGAACUGUGAGAGCCAUUCCAAGGCCCAAAACGGAAUGGCUGAAUAAGCAGUGAGGUCAGCAGCUAUGUGUGGUGUGAGGAGAGAGCACUCCAUGACACUCAACUAUUAUUGGACAUUCAGAACGCUAGCAAGCCAGGCCCACAGCAGAAGGGGGUCAGAGCCAGAGCAGUCAGUAGCAGCAGUAGCAGAAGUUAUGUUAGCUGGAAGCACACAGCUCCUGGUGAAGCAGAUAAACCUCCAGCAAGAGGAUUUUGCAUGUUGAGAGCAUUUAUUCUUCCAAAAAUAAAAACCGGGGCCUAUCAGAUGGCUCUAUAGGUGCUUGUCACCAAUCCUAAUGACCUAAGUUUGAACCCCACUCCCAUGUGGUGAAAGGAGAGAACUGACUCCUACAGGUUCUCUUCUGACCUCUGUGUGUGCACCAUGGCAAACUUAUAUGUUCUCUCUCUCUCUCUCUCUCUCUCUCUCUCUCUCUCUCUCUCCAAAACAAAUAAGUAAAAUAAAUGAAGGAUAAAAUCAGCUAAUUAUUCGUUGUGACAACUGUACUGAAUAAACUGAAGAAUUUAAAAAUAAUAACUUCAACCUUCCCAUCAAGUUAGAUCCUGCCCGUCCUUCACCAGGGUCUACCAGGGUGAGUCACCCUGGUACCUCCCUACACGAAUUCUCCUGUGAUGUCAGCACCAUGGGAGACUAAGACAAGAGGAUGGGCAAGUUCUAGGCCAGUUCUACAAAGUGAGAUCUUGUCUCAGAAAUGAACAAGGAAAUUAUUUUUUGUUAACAACAACAACAACAACAACAAGAACAAAACUUGGUAGGCAUCAUAGAUAGCGUAACUGGGAGAUGUCUCCUGGGUGUCUCGUGCUGCUACCUGAAUCUUGCUCUGUUAUCUGAACAUUAAUGGCUGCUUUUAAAAAUCUCAGAAAGCUUUGUGGGAAAAAUAUGAACUAUAAAAAAGACUAAAAUGUGCUUUUUUUUUUUACAUAGGUAAUUACACCAGGUAAAUAGCACAAAAAAUUAAUCGAGAGGCCAAAAUCCAGCCUUUUCCAUGAUUUAUUUUUAAAUCUGUGCUUGUACCUGCACACAGAACUAGUUCAUGCAAAUACGAACUGUUGUAGCUAGGGUUUUACUGCUGUGAACAGACACCAUGACCAAGGCAACUCUUCUAGAGGACAACAUUUAAUUGGGGCUGGCUUACAGGUUUAGAGGUCCAGUCCAUUACCCUCAAGGCAGGAGUAUGGCAGCAUCCAGGCAGACACGGGGGCUGGAGGAGCUCAGAGUGGGUUCCACAUCUUCAUCUGAAGGCAGACAGGAGAAGACUGGCUUCCAGGCAGCUAGGAUGAGGGUCUUAAAGCCCAGCCCCACAGUGACACACUUCCUCCAACGAGGCCACACCUCCAAAUAGUUCCACUCCCUGGGCCAAGUAUAUUCAAACCACCACAUGAACCAUGUAAAUCUUCAACAUACGCACACAUGCAAUCUUUAUAUGUUGAGCGUGGUGUGACUCCCUGUCAAAACAACCCGAGCAACGUCCGACCUGCUUUAGUGAAGCAUACAAUAAAUAUGGCCGCUCUUGAGGAAUGAGGUGACAGUAUGAUAACGGUGACAUGAUAUUAAAGAGACAGAAAGCCCAAACCUACAAAAACAUGAACACCAGUUGGUACUUGCCUAAAGCUGUGGGCAUGUGAUAAAGGGAUGGUUGGGUGGUUGAGUUUUUGAAAAGACACCACUUUUUAAAGAUCAGGCUUUUCUGUUCUUUGAAAUUGACACAAGGUAGUAACAUGACUUGUGGCUACUCUUACCCCAAAAGCUGGACAUGAAGAGCUCAUGUGAAGCGUCAACCGGCCUUCGUUCUUCACAAAGGAGACUCCUCAGUACUUCACUUAGAUGAAAUUUAAAAGCUACAACUGUUCUAGCUCGUUAAAUUUCUUGACAUGAGAAAAAAAAUUAACAGCAAACCUAGCUUAUUCAUUCCCCCAUACAAACUACUGGUAGGAAGAUUUGAACCACUAGCUAAAUAAAGUAUUAAUAACUUCCUUUCUGUUACUCCUCCCUCUUCCUAGGAGAAACACAGUACCUCAUAAUUUAUGCAAAUUUGAUUGUCUAAUAUGUAUGUAUUUUGAGAUGACUGAGGACUGGUUAUCUGGAGGAGGGUGAACACCUACAAGGUGCUUUCCUCACAGUUCCCACUCCCCCACCUAAUGGAGUGGAUACUGUUACUCUGAGCUUGAGAUCCAGAGACAAAGACUUUCUGAGAAGCUGACAUUUGAAUUGAGAAAUAAGUAACAGACAGGGAUUGUGCUGAACAAGAAAUCUGACUCCCAGGGAAGAGCAGGAAUCCCUUCCUCCUGGCACCUUCUUGCCUACUGCUCAGUUUCUCCUGAGAGAGCUUCUGAAAAGACAAUCAGUCCCGAUGGGGACACACGCUCUACCCCUUCACUGAAUACUCGGGACCACGUUCCAGAGAUGCACAAAUGAGCCCCAAUCCGGGCACCUACAGACUCAGGCAGAGAUGUGCACCACAGAGCCAAAUGUGUGGGUGUCUCAUGCUUUCUCUGCUCGUUCCCCGGGGCUGCCCAUUACUCCUCUAUGACUGUGUUCACAGAGCAUGUCUGGCCCUUGAAGACUAUCAGAUCCUUUGUGACCAGAUGCUGGGCCCUUCCUGUCUUCAUCUCCCUAACACGAGGGACUGUACUUAGAGCUUGUCCAGUGCACAGGCCCUGGACUACUCGCUGCCUGACCUACCCUUGGACACAGGGUCAAUGACACAGACUCCGGGAGUAGGCAGCUGGGUUAGUUCCAUAACGUAGCCAUUGUGAAGAGUUCUGCAAUAAACACCAAUAAGACAUAGGUGAGUGCCAAUUAGCCCCUAGAGACAGAGGUGGUGAUUGGUGUGUGGAGGGCAGAGGAAGGGCUGUAACACCUGAUCCUGAGGCUUUGCUGGUCACUGCUGUGCUUCCUCCCAUCCUUUCAACUCAUCAAGGCAAGACUCCAAACUCACUUCUGCUGGGCCCGGGAAAAAGAAAACAGAAGCCAAGUACCCAGCGGGAAGGAGAAGCGAGUCCGUUUCAUUUUAAUGACUCACACCACUUCCUAAAGAUUUCUGCCAACAAAUACGUCCCAGACUAGUCUGGAACACAGCGGCAAGCCGAUGCUGCCACCCUCAGGAUGAUUUCGUCAAGAAUCUCUCGACCACAGAAAACAGCAUUAUUUAAGAGUUCCUUGCAGGACUAUAUUUUAUGAUACUUGCACAUUAAGCUUAAAGCAGCAGACAAGGAGGAGGAGGAGGAAGAGGAAGAGGAAGAAGAGGAAGAGGAAGAGAAGGAGGAGCAACAGGAGAAGGAGGAGGAGCAGCAGCAGGCAGAGGGUCUUAAAAGACAGAAACUAUUGGAUAUUUUUAUUUACAUCUUAAAUGUUAUCCCCUUUCCCUCUUUCCCCUCUGGAAACCUCCUAUCUCAUCCCCCCUACCCCUGCUUCUGUGAAGGUGCUCUCCACCCACCCACCCACUCCCUCUAACCCCCACCCCCUCCCUGAUAUUCCCCUACACUGGGGCAUCGAGCCUUGACAGGACACAAGGGUUUCUCCUCCCAUUGAUGCCCAACAAUGCCAUACUCUGCUACACAUGCAGCUGGAGCCAUGGGUCCCUCCCUAUGUACUCUUGGGAUGGUGGUUUAAUCCCUGGGAGCUAAUAUUCAAUAAGAGAAAAAAAUUGAAUUAGAAAAAAAGGAAGAAAGGAAGAAGGGUAGGUAGCAUUCAGUAGACAAAGAAGAGACAUUAAAGGUAGGAUAAAGGAACAGAGAAAGGGGAAACAAGAAGACAGAGAGAAGGGAUAAAAGGAGAGAGCUAAAAUAGAAUGAAGACAGGAGUGAGAAAAGAAGGUUGGAAGGAAAAGAAAAUAAAUUAGAGAGGAGAGUAUUUCAUGCAUCAUUAAAAUUCUGUAAUGUAGGUAGUGCAAAAGAACAUAUGGCUGAAAUUGACGAGUAGCUGCCUGCUUUCGUUUAGAAAUAUUUAAUUAAUUACUUGAGACCUGGUCUCACUAUGCAGCCCCGUCUGGACUGUAAUCUAUAUUGUGGAUAACUAUGUAGAUGCACCAGUCUGUACCACCAUGUUUGGCUGUAAAAUCUUUUAAAUUAAAAACAAAAAAUUAAAAAAUAAAUAGCCAGGAACUAACAUUGCCUGAGGUGGCCCCACAUGGGGCUUGAAUCAUCUCUUCCUCAUUCUCUAAUCUGCAACUCCCACAGCUACUAAUCCUCUUGCCAACUGUCUUAUUCAGCCCUGUGUUCAAGCAAGCUGCUGUCUACCACAUCAAAUACCUCCAAGGCCCACGCAAGCCACAGGAAUGCCUAGAACACCUGCUUCUGGGGUAUUUUGGACCUCUCACUCCAAAUCCCCAGCCUCUGCAAUUAGUGAGUCUAUCUAGGAGUUCUCACAUCUGUUGUUUUUAUGCAACUCUGUCUGCACUCACUCAAAUAACCACUAAUCAUGUUUGAGUAUAAUAAUAAUGUGCUCUUAAAGCUUUAGAAAACACACAGUUCCUGAUAUAUGAUAGACAAUCUCUAGACUUAGUUGUAAAAUCCUCAUAUACUUUUGCAAUAGGCAAAUUUCUAUAGCUCCACUUCAAGUCAACAAGAAGUAUAUAUACAUGUAGAUGUAUAUAUUCAUAUGAUAAUCUUGAAACAGCAACAACUGCUUAGAAUUUUAUUGUCUCCCUGUCUCACGCCACUAUUGAUUCAUCUCUGCCUGUCUUAAUGGUUUGUAAAUUAUUGAUUUGAUUUUACUUUGCUUUUAUAAUUGUCUUUUUAGUAAGUAGCAUUUCACCUUCCCUUGUAAGAAGUUUUAAAAGGUUGGGGGGUGACAGUUGUACACACUGGGAGAACGCCAUCAUGUAAUGGAAUCCACAUUGGCCCAGGACUUGAAAUUCUUGUCUACUCUUUCUUCCCCCACAGUAAGGCAAAAGCUGCUGGCGUGGCCCCACUUCUUUUAAAAUGUAUAUUCACUGACCGAGGUUUAUCACUGAGGUUCAAUGGCAAUAUAAAAGAAAUUCGAAUGUUAAA